AUUGAACGCUGGCGGCAGGCCUAACACAUGCAAGUCGAACGGUAACAGGAAUCAGCUUGCUGUUUCGCUGACGAGUGGCGGACGGGUGAGUAAUGUCUGGGAAACUGCCUGAUGGAGGGGGAUAACUACUGGAAACGGUAGCUAAUACCGCAUAACGUCGCAAGACCAAAGAGGGGGACCUUCGGGCCUCUUGCCAUCGGAUGUGCCCAGAUGGGAUUAGCUAGUAGGUGGGGUAACGGCUCACCUAGGCGACGAUCCCUAGCUGGUCUGAGAGGAUGACCAGCCACACUGGAACUGAGACACGGUCCAGACUCCUACGGGAGGCAGCAGUGGGGAAUAUUGCACAAUGGGCGCAAGCCUGAUGCAGCCAUGCCGCGUGUAUGAAGAAGGCCUUCGGGUUGUAAAGUACUUUCAGCGGGGAGGAAGGGAGUAAAGUUAAUACCUUUACUCAUUGACGUUACCCGCAGAAGAAGCACCGGCUAACUCCGUG
rnacentral:rRNA from 1 species